rnacentral:rRNA from 1 species
AUACGGAGGGUGCAAGCGUUACUCGGAAUUACUGGGCGUAAAGCGUACGUAGGCGGUCCGUUAAGUUAGAUGUGAAAGCCCCGGGCUUAACCUGGGAACUGCAUUUAAAACUGGCGAACUAGAGUUGAGUAGAGGGGAGUGGAAUUUCAGGUGUAGCGGUGAAAUGCGUAGAGAUCUGAAGGAACACCAGUGGCGAAGGCGACUCCCUGGACUCGAACUGACGCUGAGGUACGAAAGCGUGGGUAGCAAACGGGAUUAGAUACCCCAGUAGUCC